GGAUUAGAUACCCUGGUAGUCCACGCCCUAAACGAUGUCUACUAGUUGUUGGUGGAGUAAAAUCCAUUAGUAACGCAGCUAACGCGUGAAGUAGACCGCCUGGGGAGUACGGUCGCAAGAUUAAAACUCAAAGGAAUUGACGGGGGCCCGCACAAGCGGUGGAUUAUGUGGAUUAAUUCGAUGCAACGCGAAAAACCUUACCUGGCCUUGACAUGCCACUAACGAAGCAGAGAUGCAUUAGGUGCUCGAAAGAGAAAGUGGACACAGGUGCUGCAUGGCUGUCGUCAGCUCGUGCCG
rnacentral:rRNA from 1 species